CAGAUCUGAAAGAGAGCAAGAAACAUGACUUAAACUCGCUUCCAUAACAGACUCGGGAUAUGCUGAGGAUGGUUCACUGGAGGGUGGCUCAUUAGGAAUAAACAGUCACAUAGUGAAGUCUUCAGGGUUUUGGCAGCCAGACCUAUGCUGAGUGGCCACUGCUGGUAGCACCCUUUGCCGUGGUGCCUACAGUCAAGGCUGUGCUCAGUACUUUAUGUAUACCACUUCCAGCGUUCACAGGAGCCCUUCCAAGUGGUCCAGGGUUUCAACCGUGGCACUGGGAAAUUGCAUGCACACAUGCACAAGAAUGAAACUUGACCCUUGUGCUCUCACCAGUUACAAAAUCAACUUAAGAUGAAUUAAGACUUGGCCUCAAGUUAUGACCUGAGGUUAUAGAACCAGCAGAAGAAGGCAGGGAAAAGGCUUUAGGAUGUUGGAACAGGAAAAAAAAAAUGCAUAUAAGACUCCAAAGGGAUCCGCAACAAAAGCAUAAACAGACAAAUGAGAUUACAUCAAACUAAACAACUUCUGUACAACACAGUAAACAGUCAACAGACUGAAGAGAUAACAAUGGGUGAUACAUUUGAAACUACACAUCUGAUAAGAGGCCAAUAUUGAGAAUAUAUAAGAAAUUCAAAAUAAAAAAUAAUAGCAACCAACCAACCAACCAAAAAAAACCAUAACAAUGACAAAAAUAACUAAAACUCAAAUAACCCAAUUAAAAAUAACUAGCAAAAGGCAUACAAUGGGAUGGACACACACACACACACACACACACACACACACACACACACACACACACACACACGGAAAGGCAAAUCAAAACCAUAUGACCUCAUAUUACAAUGGCUGUUACUGGGGCUGGAUGGCUUACCAGUUAGGAACUAAUUGCUCUUGCAGAAGACCUGAGUUCUGUUCCCAGCACCCAUGCCAUGAAGAUCGCAACCACAUAUAACUUCAGCUCCAGGACGAUCAGAUGCCCCUGGACUCUGAGGGUGCUUGCACUUACAUGUACACACUUCACCCCCCACAUCUACAUAAUUAAAAAGUAGCAAAAAUAAAUCAUAGAAAAAAAGGAGAGCUGUUACAAAAAGCAAAGUGCUGGUGAGAGCAUGCAAAAAAAGAACCUCAUGCACACUGUUGGUGGGAAUAUAGAGGAGCACAGGCUUGUGGAAGACAACGGACAGCAGCCUCAAAUAACGAAAAUCAGAGUCACUAUAUGACCUCGAAAGCUCACUGCAUGACCACAGGAAAUGCAAAUUAUAUUUCUUGUUGACUGGAUAAAUAAAAUAAGGUAUAUACACAUAAAAAAUAACGACAUUCUGUCAUUUGUAAUAACAGGUGGACGUAGAGUCAUUUGCUGAGUAAGACAAGCCAGGCUCAUAUAAACCACAGUAUGAGUUCAGUCAGCUAUGGACCCUAAGGAAUGGUCUCAGAAGCUGGGAAUGAAACAGUGGCUACCAGAGGCUGGGGAGGGGAGUGAGGAAGGCCCCGACAACAGGUACAACAGAACACAGAUGGGCAACUGCAAAUGAGAGUAUGCAGAAUGAAAACCUCAAGUUCUAUUUGAUACUCUGAGCAUCUGACACGUCUACAUGCAUGGAGCCAUGAAAUGAGUGGACACUGACCUAGAAUGGCUGGCUGGCUGUGUGUGUAGCUGGCCACCAAUCCCCACUUCUGGUAAUGUUUCAAUGUUGGACAUAUUUGUGUUGAAUUACGAAAGUGGGAAUGGUUUCCCAUCUAGAUUUCUCCUUACUACUAAGCUAGUAAUUAACUGUCUGUGUAGAUAGUAUGAGCUCAUUGUAAAUUCCUACUGAUAACAGCUAUUCCCCUUAAUGCUUUUUCAUUUAGUGUCUUGCUUUCUCAGCAUCUACCCAAAUAAGACAAAUUGGGAUUUGAGUAAAAAGUGCAAUAAAAAGUGCCGGUCUCCACAAUUCACCUCAACUUUAUUGCAAGCUUUUAACAAGGCUGUGGUGUAGGUGGGAAAGCAAAUAUGCUGGCUGGGGAAACAGGAAAGUCCCCAUGUCUACUGAACUUUGUAUUGUCUGGCCUUGAGAACAAGGACUUGCACUAUCAAAAGAGAAGACACCCAUCGUCUCAACUUUGGACUGCUGGAGGAAAACACUCAGAAAGUUAGUUGCAUUUUUAUAUAUGUGAAACAUUGAGCAUCUUCUUUAAGGUAACUUCAUCCAAAUUUAGCAUAGUCUUUCAUGGAAGCAUUUGUUUGAAGAUUAUCUCAUGAGAUAAAUGAGAAAAAAAAAUGA